UACCACUUAGCUGUCCCCUUUUAAAAAUGUAUAUUAAAAAUGGAACUCAGGAGCAACCAUAUUUUCUGACUUUCUUGUGUUUUCACCUAACAUCAGGAGAUAAUUAACAACAAAAAUCAAUAAAUAUUUAUUAUUUGUUUCUUUUUUGUAGAGAGUACUGUGGGGAAGUGCUAUAGGAAAUAGUUCGAAUAAGUCAUAUAUGACUAUUUUGGUGAACCCCUUGGACCGUAUUAUCCAUUGGAGUUUCUUGGCAGAGAUAUUGAAAUGGUUUGCUAUUUCCUUCUCCAGGGGAUGAUAGCAAACAGAAAUUUAAUGAUUAGCUCAGUUUCACACAGCUAAUCUUCUGAUCUAAAUUCCUGCCUGGUGAAGAAGGUCCUUCAAUAAUAUUCUUAAAAGCUCUGUUGUGAAUACGACCCCAAGAGAACUAUGGCAAGAUAAGAUACUACGACCCUGGAACCAUCUGGAGCCAGAUUUCUAAAAGUAAUUAUAGUGCCAAUGCUUUGUAGACAGUAAGAAUUAUGGCUAAACAUGGAAAUGUGUUUUGUAUGACUUCACACAUAUAAUGAGUAUCAUAUUGCUUGCCUUCUCAAUGGAUGGGGAGGAAUUGUAGGGAGAGCCUGAAUUCAGAAAUGAAAAUAAAAAUUUUAAAAAAUAUAGUGGUAUAUCAUUUCAUAUCUGCCUGUAACUCAAAUCCAAUUGUGGAUAGGUACUUAAAAGUAUAAGCAUUAAGAAUUUAUUAUUUAAGAAUGAGAUUCCCUGAAAUAGAAACAUGACUUCUAAGCAUCAUUUAACCUGCUUUUAUCCUUGUAUAUUACAUUAUACUUGAUAUAUACUUUUACAUUUAAACUGCCUGAGAGGUCUUCAUUAAUAUAGUUUCCUAGUCAUUGGCUGUUUAUAACAACCUCACUAGUAUUCAGACCUUUCUUACCACUAGUAACUUAAAUUUAUUCUGACUAUUCACAUGUAUCCAGAAGGUCUUCUCUGGAUUGAACUUUAUUCAAUUGUAGAAUUUUAUUGGCUACAUUGCUUCCAAACAUUGUGAAUCUUAUUAAGUGAAAAUUAACUCAUGGCUCAUAAAUUGCCUAUUGAAUUAAUUUAUUUCUCUUAGAGAGUAUGUCAAUUCUUUUUUCUCUGUCCUUUUUAGAUGUGGUCUCUCCUUUUGACAAUACUGUUUAAACUAAUUUUUCACAUAUACAUAAUCAAUAUCAGAGUGCUUGCCUUCUAAAGGGAUAAGAAAGGAGGAAGGAAGAGAAUUUUGAACUCUAAAUUUUUUAAAAUGAAUAUCAGUUUUGUUUUUACAAGCAAUUGAGAAAAAAAAUUUUAAAGAGGCAUGAAGUUGCUGCAAUAGUUUAGAAGAAAAAGAAUUUAGUAUAAACUGGGAUUGCAGCAUCAUAAGUAGAGAAGAGGUAACAGUUGCGAGAAGUGUUAUGUAAAAAUGCAAUCGACUUUUUAGAUUUCAUCAUUCUAUAUAGGUCCACAA